rnacentral:tRNA from 1 species
AAACUAUUUUUAAAUAUGUUUUGAAAACAUGUUUUGAGGUAACUCGUAGUUUU